CAUUGAUCUAAUAGCUGAUUCUCGUCCGUUCUGUGAAAGAGCUUGAUUACCUUAACUGACCAGAAGUCAAAGGACAGGAGGGUAAUUAUCAAUAUAAAGCAGGUGACGAAGCUCUUGCUGAACCAGUCACAGAACAGGACCACCCACACUGGCUAGGCCCAGUUCUAAUGUGAGAAGAAGGUCAUGGAUGAAAACCUCAGCAACCACAGAGGCUUGAUCUGCAUCCUCUCCAGCAAACUCGCCAGCUUUUGCCCUGCUAAUGAAAGAGGCAAACCUGGAGAGAACAUCUGCUUUUGCACGUCGUUGGCCUGCGUGAUCAGUAUACAAUCUGGUCCUGGAAACUAGCCAACUGCCCAUCCAGCCCUUGAAAGUUGUUAAGCCAAAGCACGGAAUUAUAUAUGAUCAGGCCAGAGCACAAACUCUUCCUAAAAAUUAAUGAUUGAAGUAGUUAAUGAAGGUAAACAAACUUAGCAUCUCCUUUUAUGUAGUUGCAUACCGGCAUUCUGCUCUACUUAAAACAAAACUAGCAUAUGCUGUAACUCUCUCCGGACUUCCAACCAGUUUGUUGUAUAGGCCUGGAUUCCCUGCCUCUACUCUCUUUAUUUAAGUCAUCUGCUGAUAUCACGUGACCUAGGUACUGCACCCUGGUAUAAAAAAAAAUCAGAUUUACUAGGUAUUAUCUUUAGACUGACUUUCCCAGAACCUCAGGCAAGCACAUCAGAUGUUCCUGAAAACACGACCCAAAGACUUUGAUGUCAUCCAAUUCAAGUAGGACAUGCCUUGUGAUGAGACAUUUUGGCCUAGUCUUGAGGUGUGAUUUCAACCUGUCAAUAACCACUGGUCAAGAUGGAAACCCCCAAAGUACUGAAUUCAUAGACUUAAACCGAUUCUUCACAAUACCUCACCAUGCAGUUAAUGUAAAAAUGUUACAACUGGUAAUAGCAUAUAAAGAUAAUGUUUUGACAUAUACAUUACGUCUGCCAUUCCUUUCUUGGGUUCAGUAAAUUUGAAAAAUACCAUCUGAUAAAAUGUUCUCUCUGUCUUGGUAUUCUGCUAAACAAUAGACUGAAUGAAACCACACCAUAUCAGAUUUUCUUACAUACACACCUAUCAGUCAUAACACUAAUACCGUCCGCCAAUCAUGUUGGUCCCCUUCCUGCCAACCAGACAAGGCGUGGACUCUGAAGGUGUCCUGUGGUAUCUGGCACCAAGACGUUAGCAGCAGAUCCUUUAAGUCCUGUAAGAUGCGAGGUGAAGCUUCCAUGGAUCAGACUUGUUUGUCCAGUACAUCUGACAGAUGCUUGAUAAGACUGAGAUCUGAGAUAUUUGGAGACCAAGUAAACACCUUGGACUCUCUUAUGUACCUUAAACCAUUCCCAAACAAUUUUUGUAGUGUAGGAUGGCAUACUAUCCUGCUGAAAGAGGCCACUGCCAUGGGGGAAUACUGCUGCCAUGAAGGGGUGUACUUAGUCUGCAACAAUGUUUAGGGACUUUUCUUUCUCCUGGGUGCAAAAAGGUCAAACACUGGACACAGAAACACUUCUUUCUGGUAAUGUAUUCCUGGCAGUGACCUUCAGUCCCUCAAUGUCCCUCAAUUCGAUCCCUACCAAAACAAAUCAUAUUGGACCUCCAUACCAAAACAAUUAUGUUCCAGUUUUAGAAUCAUCAUUUUUGGAAUCAUCCCAAGUAUCCCCCGCCCCCCCCACUUUAAGGCAUACUUGGGUAAUCAAAGAAAAAAUAAUAGAGGACCCAGAGUUUCU